rnacentral:rRNA from 1 species
GCACCCAUGUCUUUUGCGCACUUGUUGUUUCCUGGGCGGGUUCGCCCGCCACCAGGACCAAACCAUAAACCUUUUUUUUAUGUAGUUGCAAUCAGCGUCAGUAAAAACAAUGUAAUUAUUACAACUUUCAACAACGGAUCUCUUGGUUCUGGCAUCGAUGAAGAACGCAGCGAAAUGCGAUACGUAGUGUGAAUUGCAGAAUUCAGUGAAUCAUCGAAUCUUUGAACGCACAUUGCGCCCUUUGGUAUUCCAAAGGGCAUGCCUGUUCGAGCGUCAUUUGUACCUUCAAGCUUUGCUUGGUGUGGGGCGUUUUUGUCUCUCGUUCUCGGGGAAGACUCGCCUUUAAAACACGAUUUGGGCAGCCCGGGCCCUUACUGGGGUUUUCCGGGAAGCGNCAAGCACACAAUUAUUUUUGGCGGCCUUUUCUGGUUCAUCCAAGGGGAAGAAACAAGGGAACCGGGUAAAUUCCAAUUCNCAGGAACUUAACAAUUUUUUGUUAAACCUUUUUUGAACCCUCCGGGAUUCCAANGGUAAGGGGANUAACCCCGCUUGAC